UAAUACGAAGGGGGCUAGCGUUGUUCGGAAUUACUGGGCGUAAAGCGCACGCAGGCGGUUUGUUAAGUCAGAUGUGAAAUCCCCGGGCUCAACCUGGGAACUGCAUUUGAAACUGGCAAGCUAGAGUCUCGUAGAGGGGGGUAGAAUUCCAGGUGUAGCGGUGAAAUGCGUAGAGAUCUGGAGGAAUACCGGUGGCGAAGGCGGCCCCCUGGACGAAGACUGACGCUCAGGUGCGAAAGCGUGGGGAGCAAACAGGAUUAGAUACCCUGGUAGUCCACGCUGUAAACGAUGUCGAUUUGGAGGUUGUGCCCUUGAGGCGUGGCUUCCGGAGCUAACGCGUUAAAUCGACCGCCUGGGGAGUACGGCCGCAAGGUU
rnacentral:rRNA from 1 species